CCUACGGGGGGCUGCAGUGGGGAAUAUUGCACAAUGGGCGCAAGCCUGAUGCAGCCAUGCCGCGUGUGUGAAGAAGGCCUUCGGGUUGUAAAGCACUUUCAGCGGGGAGGAAGGCGUUAAGGUUAAUAACCUUGGCGAUUGACGUUACCCGCAGAAGAAGCACCGGCUAACUCCGUGCCAGCAGCCGCGGUAAUACGGAGGGUGCAAGCGUUAAUCGGAAUUACUGGGCGUAAAGCGCACGCAGGCGGUCUGUCAAGUCGGAUGUGAAAUCCCCGGGCUCAACCUGGGAACUGCAUUCGAAACUGGCAGGGUAGAGUCUUGUAGAGGGGGGUAGAAUUCCAGGUGUAGCGGUGAAAUGCGUAGAGAUCGGGAGGAAUACCGGUGGCGAAGGCGACCCCCUGGACAAAGACUGACGGUCAGGUGCGAAAGCGUGGGGAGCAAACAGGAUUAGAUACCCGAGUAGUC
rnacentral:rRNA from 1 species